rnacentral:rRNA from 1 species
ACUGCUCAGUAACACGUAGUCAACAUAACCAGAGGACGUGGAUAAACUCGGGAAACUGAGGCUAAACCGCGAUAGACCAAGAUACCUGGAAUGGUUUUUGAUCAAAAUCUAUAUGGCCUUUGGAUUGGACUGCGACCGAUCAGGCUGUUGGUGAGGUAAUGGCCCACCAAACCUGUAACCGGUACGGGCUCUGAGAGGAGGAGCCCGGAGAUGGGUACUGAGACAAGGGCCCAGGCCCUAUGGGGCGCAGCAGGCGCGAAACCUCUGCAAUAAGCGAAAGCUUGACAGGGUUACUCUGAGUGAUUUCCGCUAAGGAAGUCUUUUGGCACCUCUAAAAAUGGUGCAGAAUAAGGGGUGGGCAAGUCUGGUGUCAGCCGCCGCGGUAAUACCAGCACCCCGAGUGGUCGGGACGAUUAUUGGGCCUAAAGCAUCCGUAGCCGGUCCUGCAAGUCCUCCGUUAAAUCCACCCGCUCAACGGUUGGGCCGCGGGGGAUACUACAGGGCUAGGAGGCGGGAGAGGCAAGCGGUACUCGAUGGGUAGGGGUAAAAUCCACUGAUCCAUUGAAGACCACCAGUGGCGAAGGCGGCUUGCCAGAACGCGCUCGACGGUGAGGGAUGAAAGCUGGGGGAGCAAACCGGAUUAGAUACCCGGGUAGUCCCAGCUGUAAACGAUGCAGACUCGGUGAUGGGCUGGCUUCGUGCCAACCCGGUGCCGCAGGGAAGCCGUUAAGUCUGCCGCCUGGGGAGUACGGUCGCAAGACUGAAACUUAAAGGAAUUGGCGGGGGAGCA